rnacentral:rRNA from 1 species
UGGGGAAUAUUGGACAAUGGGCGAAAGCCUGAUCCAGCCAUGCCGCGUGUGUGAAGAAGGUCUUCGGAUUGUAAAGCACUUUAAGUUGGGAGGAAGGGCAGUAAGCGAAUACCUUGCUGUUUUGACGUUACCGACAGAAUAAGCACCGGCUAACUCUGUGCCAGCAGCCGCGGUAAUACAGAGGGUGCAAGCGUUAAUCGGAAUUACUGGGCGUAAAGCGCGCGUAGGUGGUUCGUUAAGUUGAAUGUGAAAGCCCCGGGCUCAACCUGGGAACUGCAUCCAAAACUGGCGAGCUAGAGUAGGGCAGAGGGUGGUGGAAUUUCCUGUGUAGCGGUGAAAUGCGUAGAUAUAGGAAGGAACACCAGUGGCGAAGGCGACCACCUGGGCUCAUACUGACACUGAGGUGCGAAAGCGUGGGGAGCAAACACG